GUCAAUAACUCAGGUCUAAAGACACUGAGCUUGUAAUCAACAAAGAUUACGUGUUUGACUAGCCCCGAAGAGACUAAUCUUGAUACGCACUUCCAAAUACUUCCCCAGUUUGGAUUAUCUGCA
rnacentral:sRNA from 17 species